rnacentral:tRNA from 1 species
UAUGUUUUAGUAUAUGAUGUACAGAAGUUUUUGAUACUUAAAGAAGCAGUUUAAUUCUGCUAAAUAUAA